UUUUUCAUAUUUUAAAAAAAAAUAUAGUUUUUCUACUACUGAGAUUCUUUUAUAGAUGUGAUUU
rnacentral:tRNA from 1 species